CUUAUCUUCCCCAUUUUCAGCUUCCUCUUGAAGAAGGAGAGGCCCCUUCAAAAACGAGCUGCCUUCCUGGGCUGAGCCCCACUGCUCUGCUUCUGCUUUGCUCCCUGGGUGCCCCCAGCAGGCCCCACGUGCCUGACCCAGCACCACACAACUUCUUCCCCCGUGAGAGCACAGCUACAGAAGUCAGUGAAGCAAACAGUUGGAGAGAGCAGAGUCCAGUGGGAGUGCAGAAGAGGUGGGGUGGAGGCCGGCGCUGGAAGGACAUCACGUCACUGAAGGUUUCCCAGGUGGUACGCCCAAAUCCUGCAGUGCUGCGCUCCGUGUAUUUGACAAGCUGAGUUUGACACUCAGUGUGGCAGAGUGUCAGUUUGUCAAAUACCCCAAGUGAGGCAUUUGCUUAGCAACACACAUCAGCACCACAGAAGAUUGAUUACUUCAUUUGACUGUUUGUAUUUUCAGCGGAGAGAAAAUCUUAAAGAGCUAUCUAAUAACGGCAUACUAUGCUUUGCUUCCUGUGCUAGCAGAUUUCCUUAGUGCCCCACAUUCAGAAGCGUCUGUUUGAACACGCAUUUGAAUGGUGAGUUUCUACAGAAAUAGGGCCAAAUUUUUGCUGGCACACUUCCAUUGAGUGACACAAGCAGAGAAUUUUGCCCAGAAUUAUUUAUUUCUUCAGUCUGUUGCCAAAGACAAUGCUCGUAACUGAAGUAUUGGUGGCAAUUAGGAGGUGAUGUUGAGUUGUUGUGUGACAAUGGUUUUUUAGUAUAUUCAACUAAGCUAAAGGUUAAGGCAGUUGUGAUCCCACUUACAAAACCAUUGCCAA